CUAUUACUCCCUUCGUUCGAAAUUACUUGUCUCGAAAAUGAAUGUAUCUAAAACUAAAAUACGUGUAGAUACAUCUAUUUCUGCGACAAGUAAUUCCGAAUGGAGGGAGUACUAU
rnacentral:pre_miRNA from 1 species